rnacentral:rRNA from 1 species
CAAAGGUGAGCCAGUACAGGAUGGACCCGCGUCUGAUUAGCUAGUUGGUAAGGUAACGGCUUACCAAGGCGACGAUCAGUAGCCGACCUGAGAGGGUGAUCGGCCACAUUGGAACUGAGACACGGUCCAAACUCCUACGGGAGGCAGCAGUGGGGAAUAUUGCACAAUGGGCGAAAGCCUGAUGCAGCAACGCCGCGUGAGUGAUGAAGGCCUUCGGGUCGUAAAACUCUGUCCUCAAGGAAGAUAAUGACGGUACUUGAGGAGGAAGCCCCGGCUAACUACGUGCCAGCAGCCGCGGUAAUACGUAGGGGGCUAGCGUUAUCCGGAUUUACUGGGCGUAAAGGGUGCGUAGGCGGUCUUUCAAGUCAGGAGUGAAAGGCUACGGCUCAACCGUAGUAAGCUCUUGAAACUGGGAGACUUGAGUGCAGGAGAGGAGAGUGGAAUUCCUAGUGUAGCGGUGAAAUGCGUAGAUAUUAGGAGGAACACCAGUUGCGAAGGCGGCUCUCUGGACUGUAACUGACGCUGAGGCACGAAAGCGUGGGGAGCAAACAGGAUUAGAUGCCCUGGUAGUCCACGCUGUAAACGAUGAGUACUAGGUGUCGGGGGUUACCCCCUUCGGUGCCGC